rnacentral:lncRNA from 1 species
GUUCUUAUAUACAUUUUAAAUCUCAAUUUUCAUCAUACAACUAACCUGGCUUUACUACCAUAAAUUACAUUUAUAGAGACAAAUUUCCUUUGUAGGUUUAGCAAUGGCCAUUGGUUUAUUUUUCAAAUAAUAAACAUUAACGGAAGUGUUGGGAUUUUUAUCCCAAAGUGCAGUUUAAAUCACCAAAUCCUCGACCAUUGCAAUAAGAAAAUCAUACAGAAAAUUAAAGAACGCGGUAAUUGUUCAUCCAGUUCAGCCAAGCCUAAUCUAGGGGAGCUUAGAGGCAAAAAACCCAAGCCCGUCACUAUGCAAGAACCACCCAAGAGAGAGCACGAGUUCCUUUACAAGAUUCAGAAUACACCCAAGAAAUCUACAAAUCAUCGACCUUUCAAAAGACCUUACAAAAUAGCCCUAACCGACCUGACUCAGAUGUAGCAUCAAUUUACAGUAUAAAAUUUGACCAAAAAUGGACAAAAAAACUUUCUGUUGGAAACACACAAAAUACUGACAGCCAACUGUAAAAUAACCAGAUCACCGACCCCAGAAUAUGGGCCUCACUACAGAAGUUAUGUUGGAAAAAUAAGCCAAAACUGAUAGACUCAAAAAUGCCGGAGAAGAGAGAAGAAGAGAGGAAUCUGCCAAAAACUAAAGAAAAUAAUGAAAAAGUGUUUGUCUCUCUCUCCAACCGGCUUCUUCAAUAAUGAGAGAAAAGUGGAUCCAAAUCUCAGCCCUUCAUUUUAAAUCAAUGGUCCACAUUAUUUCAAAUAAACACAAGUUCAUAUGAAAUAGUAAGUGGCCAAUAGUAGGCUGUCAUGUGGCCAACAACUUAAAGAAUCUUUUUUCUCCCUCAAAGGAAAGGUGUUAUUGGGUUUUGGAAACAUUUUCUCAAUCUUCACCUUGUUUUCACAAACCCCUAGCUCUUUCUAGUUGCCACAUUGCAUGUGAUAGUAAUAUUUUUGCCCUACAUCAUCGUCCUUUGUACUUGCAAAAGAAAUUAACCCGUAUCAAUAUGUAGUAAAGAUAAACAAGACUUAAAUUUACAUACAUUUAGAAUUUUGGUUCCCAUAUUAGAUAGGUUCACAUCGGUAUGAAUUUUUUCAAGUAUAACAUCACCACAAGCAAUUUUUUCACAUAUGAAUGUUUAGAUUUUUCAUGAUAAAUCGGGUUUUUACAUAAAAGUAAAGCACUUUGACUAUCGGUUAAAAUAAUGGGUGACACUUGCAAAAAAUUGAACUCUCCAAAAAUUCCUUUUAACCAAAUACAUUAUUUUACAGAUUCGGUUAUUGCCACAUAUUCAGCCUCCAUGCUAGAUAAUGUGAUAAUAGAUUGAAGUUGUGACUUCUAUGUGAUGAAAUUAUCACCAAGUGUGAAGAAAUAGGGCGUAGUAGACUUUCUUUGAUCCUUGUACCGAAAAAAUUGUACAUACCCCUUUAAAGAGAGCUGUUCAAAUCUUUUUUCAAACACCAAUCCCGCAUCUAAUGUCCCGGCAAUAUAUCUUAGAAGCCAUUUUAACCCCAACCAAUGAGGUUUUCCCGGAUUAGAGAUGAAUCUACUUAAGAAACUUAUAGCAUAAGCCAAAUUUGGACUAGUGGUAAUUAUAGAAAACAUGAAUGAUCCUAUGCAUUAGCAUAUGAGAUAUUUUUCAUUUCUUCCAUUUCACUUUCAGUUUUAGGAGACUGAGAUAAUGAUAAAUUCAUAUGGGCUGCAAGAGAUACAUUAACUUUCUUAGCUUCUUUCAUGCCAGAUUUGGUUACAACUUUGUUCAAAUAAACACUUUGUGUGAUAAUUAAAAUGUUUUCUUGCCUAUUUCUGUUGAUAACCAUUCCCAAAAUUUUCUUAGCAUUUCCCAAGUCCUUCAUAUCAAAUUCUGAUUUUAGAAGCCCUUUAAGUCUCAAGAUUUCAAUUUUACUAGAGCUGGCCAAUAGCAUGUCAUCAACAUAUAGAAGUAAAUAAAUUUCACUACCAGCCCUAGUGUUAUUAUAGUACAAACAGUGAUCAUAUUCACCCCUUUUGAAACCAAUUUUCAACACAUAUGUGUCAAACCUAAUGUACCAUUGCAUUGGACUUUGUUUGAGCCCAUACAAUGACUUUUGCAAUUUACACACAUAAUCUCUCUUCUCCUUUACCUCAAACCCUUGAGGUUGAUUCAUAUAGAUCUCUUCGUCUAAUUCACCGUGCAAGAAAGCCAUCUUGACAUCUAAUUGUUUGAAUUCCCAAUUGAACUGAAUAACUAGUGCAAGCAUCAACAUUAUGGUCUUAUAUUUGACAACCGAGGAGAAGAUCUCAUUGUAGUCAACACCCUCCUUUUGACUAAAUCCUUUGGCCACUAGCCUCGCUUUAUAGUUCAAAGGGUCAGAUGACACAAUCCCAUCUUUUAGUUUAAAAAUCCAUUUAUAUUGAACAACUCUUUGAUUUUUGGGUUUCUUUACAAUUUCCACGUGUUGUUUUCAAGUAAAGAUUUCAUUUCUUCUUUCAUUGCAUCUUUCUAUCUUUCAGAGUUAGAGCUAUUAAUAGCCUCUUCAUAUGAUGAAGGUUCUAAAUACUCUAAAGAUUCACCCGAGAUAAGGGCAAAGUCGAUCAAAUUAUUUAUUUCAUAUCUUGGAUUUGGUUUGAUUUGCCUACUUUCCCUAUCUCUCAUCAAUUGAUAAUCUUGAACAUUUGUAUCAAUAAUGGGAACAUUUGGAUUUUCAAUUUCAAUUUUGACUUCACUCGGACCUACUUCACCUUCAUCCGUGUCAACAAAAUUUUCAUCAGGUUGUUGAACACCCUCUUCCAUAUUGUCAUGUUGAGUGGGGUUUAGCCUUGCUAGCUUCACCUCAUUCCGUGAAGUAGUCUCAUUAGUUUGCUCUUUAGAAUUAUCAAUUUUGUUCUUUAAGCAUGGCAUUUCGAAUUCAUUGAAUAUCNNNNNNNNNNNNNNNNNNNNNNNNNNNNNNNNNNNNNNNNNNNNNNNNNNNNNNNNNNNNNNNNNNNNNNNNNNNNNNNNNNNNNNNNNNNNNNNNNNNNNNNNNNNNNNNNNNNNNNNNNNNNNNNNNNNNNNNNNNNNNNNNNNNNNNNNNNNNNNNNNNNNNNNNNNNNNNNNNNNNNNNNNNNNNNNNNNNNNNNNNNNNNNNNNNNNNNNNNNNNNNNNNNNNNNNNNNNNNNNNNNNNNUCCGUGAAGUAGUCUCAUUAGUUUGCUCUUUAGAAUUAUCAAUUUUGUUCUUUAAGCAUGGCAUUUCGAAUUCAUUGAAUAUCACAUUUCUACUAUUAAUGAUUUUAAUGCCUUGAACGCCCAAUACCCAUAACCUAUACCCUUUAAUACCUUCCAAAUACCCAAGCAUCACACACUUAGUAGCUCUAGGGUCUAACUUUCCUUUAACUUGAUGUGCAUAUGCCGUACAUCUAAACACCCUAAUAUGAGAAAGGUUUGGGGGUCUUCCCGUCCAAAGUUCCUGGGGAGUUUUAAAUCCAAUAGAACUACAUGGAGAUCGAUUUAUAAGAUAGGCAGCUGUAGAUAAAGCCUCUGCUCAAAAACCUUACGCUAAUCUAGAACUGAUUAGCAUACAUCUUACUUUGUUCGUUAGAGUUCUAUCCAUUCUUUUUGCGACCCCAUUUUGUUGUAGUGUGUGCUUAACAGUUCUGUGUCUUACAAUCCCUUUUGCUUACAGAAGUUAUCAAACUCAACAUUGCAAAAUUCUAAUCCAUCGUCAAUUCUUAGAGUUUUUAACUUCUUAUCAAGUUGAUUUUUUACCAUCUUCAACCAAUUUCGGAAUUUUUGAAAAGCCUCAAAUUUAGAUUUCAAUGGAUAAGUCCAAACUUUUUCUGGAGUAGUCAUCAACUGUAAAAAGAAAGUAUUUAUUCCCUCCAAAGGUAGAAUGACUUUCUGGUCCCCAUAAAUUUGAGUGGACAUAGUCUAGGGGCCUAGAGGUGGUAGGUGAUCAAGUCUCAAAGCUCACCCUAUGUGACUCGCCCAACACACAUGUUCACAAAAUUCAAGAGGCUCAAUUGUAUCCUUCCCAAGCAACUUUUGAUUACUUAGAUACUUUAAACCUUUAUUUCCUAUAUGUCUCAUUCUUUUGUGCCACAAUUCGAAUUUAUUUUCCAUUAUGGUCAAAGAUUUAGCAUCUUGAGGGGUAAAUGUCUCUCCCAAAAGAUAGUACAAUCCGUUUCUUUUUGGUCCCUUAAAUAUCACCAAAGAUUCCUUCAUAACUUUCAAGAUGUUAUUUUCAAACUUGAAAGAAUGUCCCUCAUCUUCAAGAGAUCCCAACGAGAUGAGAUUUCUUUUCAAAUUCGAGACAUGUCUCAAAUUCUUCAAUUUCCAGACAAUGCCAUCAUACAUUCUAAUCGCAAUGUUACCAAUACCAAGAACGCUUUGAGAGUUAUUAUCGCCCAUACAUACUUUCCUGGGCUCAAUUUUUUUGUAAUUAUUAAACUAAGAUUUAUUGGGAUACAUGUGGAAUGUACACCCUGAAUCAAAGAUCCAGUCUUUAUCAACUUCUUUACCAGACACAGUCAUUACAAGAAAACUGUCUAACUCAGAACCAAUCGCAGAAUUAUUCAAAUCUUCAUUAGUAUGAUCUUUUGAUUUCUUCUUCCAUUCAAAGCAAUCACGUUUAAAGUGUCCCAAUUUCCCAAAGUGGUAGAACUUUUUAUUGCUUUUAUCUGGUGAUUUAGAUCUAGUUUUUGAUUUCGAUUUGAAUCUUCUGUUGUUUGAGUUGCCUUCCUUCUUUUCAGUUCUUCCUCUCACAAACAUACUUUUCGCCCUCGAACUUCUAGACUCUCUCUUAAUUUCCAAUUCUGGAGAUUUUAACUCAUUGAUGACAAUAUAUUGUGUUAAAGCAUCUCUAGGAUAUUCUAUUGCAUUCUUGAUCCCUAUAGGAAUCGGGUAGAGAAUUAAGAAGGAUCACUGCAAGGUCCUCAUCUUCAAUUUUUUUGUCAUUAUGAGAAAGUCUUUUGACCAAAAUGUUAUAGUUACUCAAAUUAGUUUCCAAGUCCUUUCCAACAUCCAUUCUGAACCUAAAUAGUUUUUCUAAGAGGUAAAUUUUAUUUAGCAGCAUCUUAGUCAGAAACAAAGUAUCUAAUGUAGUCCAUAAUUCUCUAGCGGUUUUGUGUUCUUCAACUUGUAUUACAGUGUUAUCAGAUAAGUACAAUAUGAUAGAACUAUAUGCAAUUUCAUUCAUAUCUAGAAUUUCAUCAGGCUUAGCUUUCAAUUCAUCAAAAAAAAAUUCAGGAUCUUCAAGGGCUUUAGCAACCCUUUGUUGGACCAAUAUGGCCCUCAUUUUCUGCUUCCAAACCGAGUAAUCCCCCUUUUCAUCGAAUUUAGACAAUUCGACCUUCGAACCUAUUGCAGGUUUUGUAAAAGGGUGGCUACUACUCGUAAACAUAAGUGAUUUUUAAUAUAUCAGAUCACUUAAGUUGCAGAAAAUGUUUUGGAAAAUGUUUUGUAGAUAAUUUCAGAUAAGCAGAUAACAGAAUGAAAAACACAGUUAUAUACAGAUUUCUAACGGUUGGUGUCAAACAAUCUGAUUACAGAAAACUAAAAUAUCAUAAUACGUGUUUCUAUUCCAAUUUAACAAUUUAUUCAAUUCUUAAAUAAAUUCAAACCACAAUAAUAUUCACAGAUUCACAUAUGAUACAAGAGCACAUGCAGAUCAAAUACUAUGAACUAAAUUAGAACAUUCUCACCAAAUACUAUGUAUAACAGUAUUAAAUCCACUCCAGUGAUUUACUACAAAGUCGGAAUCCAAAAUCCUAGCUCCAAGAACUUUCGUUCAAAUUACUUAUUGUACUGCACAGAUCAAAUGGAACACAUCAAUAUGAUAAAAAAAAAUUAAACUCUAUUCGCAGAUCCUUACCCAUGCCUUAGAGGCUUUGAUAACAAUUUUGUCGGGAUUUUUAUUCCAAAGUGCGGUUUAAAUCACCAAAUACUCAACCACAGCAAAAAGAAAACUAUACAGAAAAUUAAAGAAUGCAAUAAUUGUUCACCCAAUUCGGCCAAACCUAAUCUAGGGGGUUCAGAGGCAAAAAACUCAAGCCUAUCACUAUGCAAGAACUACCCAAGAGAGAACACGAGUUUGUUUACAAAGAUUCAGAUUACACCCAAGAAAUUUACAGAUCAUCAGCCUUUCAAAAGACCUCACAAAAUAGGCCUAACUGACCUGACCUGAACUCAAAUGUAGCAUCAAUUUACAGUAUAAAAUCUGAACAAAAAUGGACCAAAAAAUCUGUUGUCAAAAACACACAAAAUAUCGGUAGCCAACUGUAAAAUAACCAAAUCACCGGCCCCAGAAUACGUGCCACACUACAGAAAUUAUACCGAAAAAAUAAGCCAAAAUUGAUAUAAAGAUUUCACUUGGUGAGACUCAAAAAAUGUCGGAGAAGAGAGAAGAAGAGAGGAAUUUGCCAAAAACUAAAGAAAAUAAUGAAAAAGUGUUUGUCUCUCUCUCUC